UUUCCUGUGCAGUGGUUUAUGUACUACUACUACUACUACUACUUCUACUACUAUUGCUGCUGUUGCUGGUGCUGCCACAAACUCCAGAAAGAAUGCCUAAGAAAGAAAAAAAAACCUAGCAUUUUCCUGUGCAGUGGUUUAUGUACUACUACUAUUACUGCUACUACUACUACUUCUACUACUAUUGCUGCUGUUGCUGCUGCUACAAAUUACAGAAAGAAUGCCUAAAAAAGAAAAAAAAAAAACCUAGCAUUUUCCUAAGCAGUGGUUUAUGUACAACUACUACUACUUCUACUACUAUUGCUGCUGUUGCUGCUGCUACAAACUACAGAAAAGAAUGCCUAAAAAAAGAAGAAAAAAACUAGCAUUUUCCUGUGCAGUGGUUUAUGUACUACUACUACUACUACUGCUAUUACUACUACUUCUACUACUAUUGCUGCUGUUGCUGCUGCUACAAACUACAGAAAGAAUGCCUAAGAAAAGAAGAAAAAAACCUAGCAUUUUCCUGUGCAGUGGUUUAUGUACUACUACUACUGCUACUUCUACUACUAUUGCUGCUGUUGCUGCUGCCACAAACUACAGAAAGAAUGCCUAAAAAAGAAAAAAAAACUAGCAUUUUCCUAUGUAGUAGUUUAUGUCCUGCUGCUACUAUUAUUGCUACAACUGCUACUACUACUACUUCUACUACUAUUGCUGCUGUUGCUGCUGCCACAAACUACAGAAAGAAUGCCUAAAAAAAGAAAAAAAUCCUAGCAUUUUCCUAUUCGGUGGUUUUUGUACUACCACUACUACUACUUCUACUACUAUUGCUGUUGUUCCUGCUGCUGCUACAAACUACAGAAAGAAUACCUAAAAAAGGAAAAAAAAAAAAAACCUAGCAUUUUUCUAUUCAGUGGUUUAUGUACUACCACUACUACUACUUCUACUACUAUUGCUGCUGUUGCUGCUGCUGCCACAAACUACAGAAAGAAUGCCUAAAAGAAGAAAAAAAAAACCUAGCAUUUUCCUAUUCAGUGGUUUAUGUACUACCACUACUACUACUUCUACUACUAUUGCUGCUGUUGCUGCUGCUGCCACAACCUACAGAAAGAAUGCCUAAAAAAAGAAAAAAAAACUAGCAAUCUCCUAUGCAGUAGUUUAUGUACUACUUCUACUACUAUUGCUGCUGUUGCUGCUGCUACAAACUACAGAAAGAAUGCCUAAAAAAAAAAAAACUACCAUUUUCCUAUCCAAGUUAUGGUUUUGCAAAGUACUGUACUAUCACCACCACCAUUACUACUACUGCUGCUGCUGCUGCUGCUGCUAUUACAGGUAAGGAAACUGAGGCAGACAAGUUAAAUACAGCUGUAUGUUGAAUCCUUCAUACUUAUAGUAGUACAUAUUUUUAGUGAUUUCCUCUACUAAUGUCCUUCUCUGACACCUCGGUGAGAUGCGGUGAGAAUUCCUGAAAGCUGUGCUGAGUACAAACUGGCAAGUCCUACCCAUCUGUACAAGCUGGUAAUACCAGCCAAGGACAGACUGUGUCUGCUCUCGGAACUAAAGACCAUGACCAGAUGGCUACAAGAUGAUGAACUUUCUGGCCACAGUACAUCAUGGAAAGAGCUGAUGAGAGUGCAGAGGGGAUACAGUCAGGGCCACCGUUACUGACCACGGAUCCUUGAAGUGCUGAAUCCCUAACCAAUAAGGACAUUUUUUUAAAGAUCCUUGGACAUGCAUUCUUCUUUUUAUUUGAUGCAAAAGAAGAUUUUUUAAAAGAAUUUAAUGACUAGCACAGAUUGGGACCUAUAUUUCAUUUUUCCAAAAUAAAACUACCAAGGAAUUUAAAUUUAAAAGGUGAUUGCAGCUCAUGUGAUUAUUUUAAUUUGGAAUACACAUACAGGAUUACUUGUGCAUGCACAUUAAAGAAAGAGCUUUUUGUGGCAAGGGAGUUCUUUAAAAACUAAUCUCAGCCCCAUAUAACAUAAUAAAUCAUUAAUAAUAUACAGACUCUAAACUCUGCAAAUGUAUUGACACAAGUGGCCACACUGUGUCUGUAGUCUGCAUAUGAAAAUGACUCUGCCAAGAUAUUUCAACUUAAUAAAAAUAAUUUGUCAUUUUAAAUCUUCUGCCUCCAGAUUUUGCUGAUAUAAUUUAUUACUAUUAGUAUGUAUUAUGAGAGCAUACUCAUGUAGCUAUACCUGUUUGUGAAAUGGCUAGGCUUUUGAAGAAAACUAAUUUGUCUGCUCUCACAUGAAUAAUUCUUAGUGGUAUGCCUUAUUAAAGAAAACCGGUGAUAAAGAAAAAAAAA